GACGAACGCUGGCGGCGUGCUUAACACAUGCAAGUCGAACGGAAAGGCCCUGCUUUUGUGGGGUGCUCGAGUGGCGAACGGGUGAGUAACACGUGAGUAACCUGCCCUUGACUUUGGGAUAACUUCAGGAAACUGGGGCUAAUACCGGAUAGGAGCUCCUGCUGCAUGGUGGGGGUUGGAAAGUUUCGGCGGUUGGGGAUGGACUCGCGGCUUAUCAGCUUGUUGGUGGGGUAGUGGCUUACCAAGGCUUUGACGGGUAGCCGGCCUGAGAGGGUGACCGGCCACAUUGGGACUGAGGUACGGCCCAGACUGCUACGGGAGGCAGCAGUGGGGAUUAUUGCACAAUGGGCGGAAGCCUGAUGCAGCCAUGCCGCGUGCGGGAUGACGGCCUUCGGGUUGUAAACAACUUUCGCCUGUGACGAAGCGUGAGUGACGGUAAUGGAUAAAGAAGCACCGGCUAACUACGUG
rnacentral:rRNA from 1 species